rnacentral:rRNA from 1 species
GAUGAACGCUGGCGGCGUGCUUAACACAUGCAAGUCGAACGGAAAGGCCCAAGCUUGCUUGGGUACUCGAGUGGCGAACGGGUGAGUAACACGUGGGUGAUCUGCCCUGCACUUCGGGAUAAGCCUGGGAAACUGGGUCUAAUACCGGAUAGGACGAUGGUUUGGAUGCCAUUGUGGAAAGUUUUUUCGGUGUGGGAUGAGCUCGCGGCCUAUCAGCUUGUUGGUGGGGUAAUGGCCUACCAAGGCGUCGACGGGUAGCCGGCCUGAGAGGGUGUACGGCCACAUUGGGGCUGAGAUACGGCCCAGACUCCUACGGGGGGCAGCAGUGGGGAAUAUUGCACAAUGGGCGCAAGCCUGAUGCAGCGACGCCGCGUGGGGGAUGACGGCCUUCGGGUUGUAAACUCCUUUCGCUAGGGACGAAGCGUUUUUGUGACGGUACCUGGAGAAGAAGCACCGGCUAACUACGUG